GAUGAACGCUGGCGGCGUGCUUAACACAUGCAAGUCGAACGAGAACGGAAUAUAGCUUGCUAUAUUUGUCAGCUAAGUGGCGCACGGGUGAGUAAUGUAUAGAUAACCUGCCCUUAAGAAAGGAAUAACAGUUGGAAACGACUGCUAAUGCCCUAUAUGCCUUUAAUACAUAAGUAUGCAAGGGAAACGCUUUAGUGCUUAAGGAUGGGUCUGUAUGGUAUCAGCUUGUUGGUGAGGUAAUGGCUCACCAAGGCUAUGACGCCUAACUGGUUUGAGAGGAUGAUCAGUCACACUGGAACUGAGACACGGUCCAGACUCCUACGGGAGGCAGCAGUGGAGAAUAUUGCACAAUGGACGAAAGUCUGAUGCAGCAACGCCGCGUGGAGGAUGACACAUUUCGGUGCGUAAACUCCUUUUAUAUAGGAAGAUAAUGACGGUACUAUAUGAAUAAGCACCGGCUAACUCCGUGCCAGCCGCCGCCGUAA
rnacentral:rRNA from 1 species